UUAUUUUCUUACCUUGUAUACUUUCAUUUCAAAAAACAUUUGCAAGAAAACUCACUCAAACUCCUCCUACCACACGCCUAGUAUCAUCAUCCUUCAUCAAUUGGUGUUUUGUUCUUUUGCAAAUUGAAGUCGACUCGUGACCGGGAAUUGAAUAGGAGGCUUGAGAGUUGGUUAUCUUGCUUAAGCAAUAAGUUAAGUUGCAGGUCUGGGGAGUAAGGAUUGUUCUUUGGAGAAAUAAAUCGUUAAGGAUACAGAAGUCUUGAUAAGAGCUUCUAAUAAAGUUUAAAGAAUAUUUGGUUUUAUGAGGCGAUUUCGUUCUCAA